rnacentral:lncRNA from 1 species
CUGCUUCCCCUCCCCACUUAGUUCUAGUCCCGGUCAGGGCGCUGGAUUCUGUCCCGCGGCUGCGGCGGUUGUUGGAGAGUGAACCACCCGCAAAGGAAGACCUUUCUCUCUGUCUCUCUCUCUCACUGUCCACUCUGCCUGUCAUAAAAAAAAAAAAAAGAAAAAAAACAAAAAAAAAGGGCAGCGACUGAGGGGGUACAAGGAGAAUUUCAACCUUGACUUUUCAUUUUAGGAAGCAAUCAAUGGAGCUCAUCUCUUUGACAGCAACAAAACCAGCGAGAGAGCUGACGUGGCACCUUUGCAAGGCUGGAAAAUGAGGGCUGUGGUGCCAGCAAGACACGGGACCCCACUGGGGCUGUGCCACUCGUUAGCUGUCGGACCCCACGCAGGUGACAGAGCGUCUCAAUGUCUCUGCUCUUCCUGUUUCCAGGAGCCUGCAAGAGGACUGUGCGAGUGCGGGACUGAGAGCAGUGCCUGGCUGGAGACGGAAUCCACAGAACGCCGCGACCAGCUGGAUGGUGUGAGAGGGGCCACUUGCACCUCUGACCUCCAUGGUUUUCUCCACGUUCUUCAGUGUGUGCCGGGGUCACUGACUCGGGAAGGAAGGUGGGGCCCUAGGGUUGGCACAGGUUUCAGACUAGGACAAUCCUGGAUCCAAAUCCAGGCCCAGGCACUCACCCUCUGGGUAAACUCAUGGAAAAUGGGGAGCUGGUUCAUCCAUUCAGUCAGCUUUCUCUCCGUGCCUACCAAGGAAGCGCAUGGGGCUGGUAGUUGGGGAUCAGGAGUAAGUAAGCCAGGGUCCCUCUUGAUGAAGGCCAGAGUCCACUCAAAAGAGACAAACCUGCAAACGAAGCAGGGGCCCAUGGGGUCAGAAUACCAGAUGGGAGACCAUGGAGGUCACAGAGGGUGCCUAAAGGAGGGAGCGAUGGAUGCACGGCCAACAAGCCUUCCUGCAGAAGAGAGACCGGGGUGGGGUACUCCCGCCGCCCUGGGGAGAAGCAAGCCAUGUAGGGCCGUGAACCUUCUUCCACCCCAGACUGGAGAGGUCUAAAAACCCCUGUGUUCCUGAAUCGCCAGAGUGCUGGGUACAGGUGACAUUGAGGCCCCUGGCCUGGGCUCUGAGCCUGUCAUUGACUCCCCAACUCCAGUUCCUCUCCUUGCUGGGGGGAGGGGGGAGUGAUUUUCAGUGCCCUGGCAGCCUCCUGAGCUUCUGCUUCCUAGCAGCGACCCCUGGCCCAGCUCACCUUCCUCUAGGAAAGAGCAAUUGUUACCAGAAGAAAUGGCCCUCGCAAGCAUGCCAGUCCAGGAUCCUGAGUCUCCACCAAUGGGCCAGCCCGACAAACAGCUGCAGCCGGGGGAAUCAGGUCACACGCCAUCCAUGGGUGGGCUUUGCAGACACCUCUUCCCCCGGAGGAGUGGGCCACUUUCCAGAAUCGUGGGCCAGCAGAAAGGGAGGUUGAACAAACAGGCACAGGGUCGCUCCCUAGCAGCCGUUCUUGUUAGUGCUGCGCCCGCCAGCCGUGCAUUUUUGGAGUGUUACAUACGCGCGUGCAGCCUUCACCAGAGGACAACUAGGACGAGCGGGGAGGGGGGAGGCCUGAGGGUCAGGGCCAGCAGAUGGGCCUCUACUUAAGCAGGUUAGAAGUUCAGCUGUUCCAGGGGAGCCCCUCUCUGGCCGGGCGAGCACGAGGCUUCGCUGUGAGGGGUCGAAUGGAAAACAGGCAGAGGGUCCC